rnacentral:rRNA from 1 species
CAUGCAGUCGAGCGGAACGACACUAACAAUCCUUCGGGUGCGUUAAUGGGCGUCGAGCGGCGGACGGGUGAGUAAUGCCUAGGAAAUUGCCUUGAUGUGGGGGAUAACCAUUGGAAACGAUGGCUAAUACCGCAUAAUGCCUACGGGCCAAAGAGGGGGACCUUCGGGCCUCUCGCGUCAAGAUAUGCCUAGGUGGGAUUAGCUAGUUGGUGAGGUAAUGGCUCACCAAGGCGACGAUCCCUAGCUGGUCUGAGAGGAUGAUCAGCCACACUGGAACUGAGACACGGUCCAGACUCCUACGGGAGGCAGCAGUGGGGAAUAUUGCACAAUGGGCGAAAGCCUGAUGCAGCCAUGCCGCGUGUAUGAAGAAGGCCUUCGGGUUGUAAAGUACUUUCAGUUGUGAGGAAGGGGGUAGCGUUAAUAGCGCUAUCUCUUGACGUUAGCAACAGAAGAAGCACCGGCUAACUCCGUGCCAGCAGCCGCGGUAAUACGGAGGGGUGCGAGCGUUAAUCGGAAUUACUGGGCGUAAAGCGCAUGCAGGUGGUUCAUUAAGUCAGAUGUGAAAGCCCGGGGCUCAACCUCGGAACUGCAUUUGAAACUGGUGAACUAGAGUACUG